GUGGGGAAUCUUGCGCAAUGGGCGAAAGCCUGACGCAGCCAUGCCGCGUGAAUGAUGAAGGUCUUAGGAUUGUAAAAUUCUUUCACCGGGGACGAUAAUGACGGUACCCGGAGAAGAAGCUCCGGCUAACUUCGUGCCAGCAGCCGCGGUAAUACGAAGGGGGCUAGCGUUGCUCGGAAUUACUGGGCGUAAAGGGCGCGUAGGCGGAUCGUUAAGUCAGGGGUGAAAUCCCAGAGCUCAACUCUGGAACUGCCCUUGAUACUGGCGAUCUUGAGUGUGAGAGAGGUAUGUGGAACUCCGAGUGUAGAGGUGAAAUUCGUAGAUAUUCGGAAGAACACCAGUGGCGAAGGCGACUCACUGGCCCAAUACUGACGCUGAGGCGCGAAAGCGUGGGGAGCAAACAGGAUUAGAAACCCUGGUAGUCC
rnacentral:rRNA from 1 species